rnacentral:misc_RNA from 1 species
AAACAUUUGUAAACUAAUAGAAAUGACUACAAUACAAUUUCUUUUUUAAAUUUAUUACAGUUCCAUAGUGCUUAGACUACACAACUGAGGGGUAGUCUUUCCCUCUGCCUAAAUCCCACAAAACAACUCUCUCUCCAUGAAGGAGUUGUUGUCCUUUAAUUUUAAGACUCUUUGUCACUUCAAAUGCUAAAUUUGAGACACUAAACUGGUGGCACAACAGGGCCAUUUAUUACAAACCAAACUUCAGAUUCACAAACGAUUACAUAUCUUAGGAAUUGUAAACCAAACUUGACAAGUAUAAAAUAUAUGUAUCUCCCAUUAGAAAUAUAUCCAUGAGAGAGAGAGAAAGAGAGAGACUUGACGAGAUGGAGAAGGCAGCAGUAGCAUACCAGAAGUGAAAAAUCAACUUUAGCCAUAACCACGAACGGCUGUGGGUUAGAUGGACAAGCCAAAGGAUCAGACCAAAAUAUCUCCUCAGGUUAUCUCAGCUUUAACUAGUAUAUAACAAGUAAAGAAAAAGAAACACACCAACACUUACUCCAAGUGGGAAUUUCACAAAAGCAUGCAUGAGCUCUAGGUUUGAAAAAAAACAACAGCUCUUCUGUCAAAAUUGAGCUAGAACCCCCAAUGGUUUAGCCACAAUGAAUUCUUUACAAUUAAAACUGAUCAAGAAUCAAAUGCAACUAAAUUAGUGAUGACCAAAGAAUAUCUUCCCUUUCCAAAAGAGAAGAGAGGAUUUGCAAGAAGUGAGUGCAAACUGCAAGAGCAAAUUGCCCUAUUGAUGUUAGCAAAAACAGCCUUAGAUGGGCAUUCCAUGCCCAGUGAAUGUUGUUAAAAACCCACCCUGCAUCUGGAUGUUAUAGGGUGAUUUAAUGAAUGUGAGCUACAGUCCUGUACUGUUUCCCAUUCUAUGAACUUGUUUCUAUGUAUCGUCUAACUAAUCUAACCCAUCUUAGACAAAUUGCUUCAUGUGAUGGAGAUAUUAUCCAAAAAUGGCUAAUUAAAUACUUAAAUAUCCCCUCUCAACAGAUGGUUAAAGACUGAAAUAAGAUUUUGCCAUGGGUCCAUAUACGUAGAGGAGAGAAUUGUAAGGAGUCCCUAGCCAGCUAUAUGGAGUUGAGACGGAGAAGAGAGGAACCAAGAUCAGUAGUCAAGAUAUUUAAGUAAGAAUAGCUCAAACGCUACUGAUGGGGCGUAGAGAAUUUGUCUGAGAAGGAUAAUGUGGUGCCAAAGCAGCAACAGUUGGAGCAGCAAGAGCUGUGCUUACACUUGGUCCAGCUAUGGCCUGAGAGUGUGGGAUGGCAUUCAGAGUCAUUGGUGGGCUAUAGUGCUGUGGGACACCUGAUGUAGCAACAAUUGGAUACUGGAAGUGGUGUUGAGGAUACUGGAAAUCGAACCCUACUCCAUAUUGCAUGUAUGGGUAGAAAUUUGAAUUUGAACCAGCAAUUGUGCCAUUCGCUACUGUCCCAUAUACAAGAUAAUGGCAGCUUGUUCCUCCACUUGAGCCAUAGUAGCUCGUGGGACAUGUGUAGUUGGGAGAGUACCCAUAUAGAGUGAAGGGGAUUCCUUGUUGGAUGGCACAAUGUGGAAGAGUUGGCGUUGAAGGAAAAGGUAGAGUCCCAACCCCACCUUGAAAGCCUGCGUGGAAAGAUUUCAUGACCCUAAAGUUUCUGCCCCCUCCAUAUUGUUGUGAGGUGGAAGGUCUAGAUCUUUGGACACCCAAAGAAGCAAGAUUACAGUUUGCCCUCCUUCCAUCUAUCACAGGCGCAGGAUCCACACAAGCUCUCCUGGCGGCUUCUGCUUCUUUAAAAGUUACAAAUCCAUAUCCUUUGGAUCUUCCAGUAUUCUUGUCUAUGAUAACUACAGCUUCCAAGAUCUCUCCAAACUGUUGGAAGUAUUUCUUCAUGGUCUCCUUCUGGGUCUCCCAUGCUAAGCCCCCAACAAACACCUUGGUG